rnacentral:rRNA from 1 species
UCAAAACAUUUCUUUCUAUUUUAGAAGGUAAGGCCUGCUCACUGAAGUUUAAAGAGCCGCAGUAUUUUAACUGUGCUAAGGUAGCAUAAUCAUUAGUUUUUUAAUUGAGGACUGGUAUGAAUGGCUUAACGAAAAAUUGACUUUUUUUGUAAGAGGAAUUGAAUUUAAUUUUUUAGUUAAAAAGCUAAGAUUUUUUAAAAAGACGAGAAGACCCUGUAGAGUUUUACAUUUGUGUUUAAGGUUUCUUAGGUUUAAAAAAUUUAGCUAAGGAUGUUUUGUUGGGGUGACAUUAAGAUAUCAAAAACUCUUAAUUUUUAGUAUUUUAACAGAAAUAUUUUUGAUCCUUAAAAAAGAUUAUUGGAAAAAUUACCUCAGGGAUAACAGCGUAAUCUUUUUUGAGAGUUCUUAUCGACAAAAGGGUUUGCGACCUCGAUGUUGGAUUAAAAUUAGGCAAGGGGCAGUAGCUUUGUCGAUGGGUCUGUUCGACCCUUAGGAUUUUACAUGAUCUGAGUUCAGACCGGCGUGAGCCAGGUUGGUUUUCUAUCUA